GGCCCUGUGUCUCGACUGCACCCCGCUAGACCCCCACCUCUCCCGCUGCUCCGACGAUUCCUGGAUCUUCUCCAGGAUCCCCGGCCUGACUCUUUAAAAGGCAGCCCACGGUCAAAGACGGGACCUCAAAGAGAUGCCCGAGUCCCGCGGUCGCGUCCUCGCGGAGAGAUCUGCUCUGAGUGCCGUGUUUACUGCUAUCCUCACCUUUGACAGCCAGGAAGUGUGAACUGGGUGCCCUCAGCUAACUCAGAGUCCACUGAAGAAAAGGACCAGGACCAGGCUGGGCCUCAGGCAGAGAGAACUGGCGAUCUGGAUCAGAGUUGGGGGUGAGUGACCAAAGAUCCCAGCAGCACCUGACGGUUCCCCUCCCUUCCACCUCAUGCACAAUGUGGAAGGAAAGUGACGUUUACUCACUUGAACUGCUUUUCUCUGAGCACCCUCUUGGAGAUAAAGGACUCUGAGAGACCCCUGGUCCCCUACCAAAGUAUUCUCAGUACUUGUACCAUCAAAGAAUAUGAACAGAAAUGCUCCCCACUGCUCACUGGUCGUCUUCUUGGUCUACAGAGAAGGACCCUGAGAUCAGCGAGGAGGACAUCCGUCUGUGGUCCUUCAGCAAGCAGGGAGAGUGUCCGAGGCCAGCUUCCCAGCCUCCCCAUCCUCAGUCCAACGCUCUUCUCUCUCCCCUCUCUCCUUCUGCUUGUGCCUUCCGUCCUGUGAUGAACCGAGGAGAGGGGAGCUGAAGCAGGCUGCUGCCUGUGCAUGACUAUGUUGUUAUGAGAACCCCAGUGUGUGCGUUUCCUCCCUUCUCUGUUGAAACCUUUGCUUGGCUUGGCUUCUCCCCAAGCACGGAUACAGCUCCCUUUGGAGUGGCGAGUGGAGAGGCUGAGAUGGAGGGCUCUAUUCUCAUGGCAAGAGUUCUCUAUUCCAACCCAUCUAACCCAGAACCAGCCUGGGUCCGAGAGCCUAGGCCGCUGGGGUGGUGCUGUUAGGGCAGACUUGUGGAACAGCAGACCUGUAGGCAUAUUAUAACAGAAGUCAGGGAGCAAUUCGGAGAGGACUGUGACUAUGCUCCUGCUGCCUGUCAUGUAGCUAGCUGCAUUCCUUUAGCCUUGACUGUCUAGGCCCAGAUGGUCCCCCUUAACAAUGUGUGGGGCCAAACUGACUGUGUCUGGCCUGUGUUUUAAAAAUACACUGUGAUUCCAACUUGCUUCAAGGGCUUCAGGGCCGUCAUGUCUGGCAGAAGACUGGUGUAGUCAAGGACACUUUCAGCUCUACCUGCUCUUCUCAGACCCCCUCCUUCCCAGAACGUUCUUGUAUAAACCUGCCUGACAACAUAUGACGUAAUUCUUGUAUUCUGUGUAACCAAUCAGGUAAUAACCUGCUAUCAGCUUUGUACUUUCCACUUGCAAACUGUAUUUAAACUGAACUCAACCUGACUCUGGGCUGGUGAUUUGAGCCUCUAUGUUCCCCAGCCAGCUAGAGUAACAAAAGUUGCCUUUUAACUCCUUGGUGCAAAGUCUUCCACUUGGUUUGAUGUUGGUUUUUCUGCUACAGUGCCACAGUGGCUGGAGGAGGACACGAGGGAAACGUACUGAAAGUGGGCACUCGAGCCCCUUGUUGAGCUUUCUUGGGGCAGAGAGGUACUCCCCCUGCUCUGCAGCCUCCUACCUACAAAUUUACAAGCAAAAUAACCAUUGCUUUAAGAGACCGAGUUUGUCCUACAGCUGGAGAUUGCUUGAACACCCACAUCCUAGGGUUGUGAAAAUGUGUGAUGUGUGAAAGGCACCCGGCACACAGUAAGCACUUUGUAGUACUGUCUUCUCAUCACCUCCACCAUUCUGGUUCAUUCAGUCUUGUUCUGUCUCCGUUGCAUCAGUCAGUUCACACAUUCUUUCACCUGGUUUAAUUGGUUCAAUCGCUUGGCAUAGAACUGACUGGGCAUCUCUUAUAUGCCUAACUUCGGCUUGACAAGAGGCAGCAAAAGCACUGGGCUGGCCAGUGAUGGGUUUGUGUGUUAGUCAUCUGGGGUGCAUUCAAAUGUGCCAACUUUUAUAGAGCUUGUAAAGACCUACAGGGUGACAGAGGUACCAGGGUGUGAGUUAAGUGUCUAAUGUGGGGCACUAGAUCCUACCAAACAAGUCUAAGUCACAACUUGCUUACAUUAUUAUGCUUAAACUAGACCUUCAACAAAAUAAAACACAUUAAACAUA